GCGGGAAUAGCUCAGUUGGUAGAGCGCAACCUUGCCAGGGUUGAGGUCGCGAGUUCGAGUCUCGUUUCCCGCUCCA
rnacentral:tRNA from 1 species